CGCCUUCCCCCCCCCCCACGCACGCAAGUCGCGAUCCUAAAGGCAGCUGUUCUCGCCCUCUGGCGGCCGAUCCGGGGACAGCAGCUGGAAGAGCCGCCGAAGGAGGCGGUUUUUUGCGCAAGGAAAGAAGAAGCGCCGCGUCUCCUCCCGAAGGUCCGCCCAAGGCCGGGAGGUUCCCCGAUCCUCCUCCUCCUCCUCCCUGGCCGCGCGGGUGCCUUGGGAAGCCGGGAAAGAGGAGGAGCCGAUCCCGCGGGGUGGAAAGCGCGCAACGAGGGGAGCGGAAGGCUUGCAAAACCCCUGCGGAGGAGGGCGAGCAGGCAGGGCAGGAUCGGGCCCGGGAGCGGGAGGGUUGCGUGGGUUGCGCCUCGCGGGGCUGAUGUUGCAACUUGCGUGAGCUUGCGGGAAGAAGGCAAGUGUGGACACACACACACACGCGCGCACGCACGCACAGAGAGCUUACGCGCAAGAGGCGCAGGAUCGGUGCAAAGGCUCCCGCUGCUUCGGAUCGGGACCCCCGGGAAGGUGGAGAAGUCAUGGCUGUGCCGUAUCUCAGAGCCGUACUCCUGUUGGCCCCGCUGAGCCGGGGCCAGGACUUCCCCUUCAGGGACCCCACCUUGCCCUGGGAAGAACGGCUGGACGACCUGGUGAACCGGCUGACGCUGGACGAGAUGGUGCUGCAGGUAUCAGACGGGGGCCCCUCGGUCAGGAUCGUGUCAGGAAUGAGGUGGAUGAGUUGCUCUGGGAAAAGACAACAGAGAAUUUAUUUUUUGUUUGUCGUAUUUUUAAUCCACCCUUAAAAAGAACUCAAGGCAGCUUAUCUCAUUAAAAGACAAUAUUUAAAGUUUUUUUAAAAAGCACGUGUACAAAUUACUAUAAAGGAUCAAACAAAGGCCACGCUAAAAUACAGGAAACAGAGCACUUAAGAUCCAUUCCAAGCAGUCAGAUGCAGCCACCCAUCUAAAAACCCCUCCCAAACAGACAGCCACUGAGGGGAAGCCCAUCUCAAGAGAAAGGCCUUCACCUGCUUGCAGAUAGACAGCAAAGACAGGACCAGGCUGGCUUCCAGUGGGAAGGAGUUCCAGCGUCUAAUGGAGCAGACACAAGAGAAGGCCCCUCUCCUGUGUCCCCACCAAACACACCUGGGAAGGUGGAUCAAGAGAAAGGCCUCCCCUGAUGAUCUUAACACCUGAGCAGGCUCAUCAUGGGAGUCCUUGAGAUCGCUCGGAUCCAAGCCAUUUAGCGGCUUUAUAGGUUAGAACCAUCCUUUUGAAUUGUGCCUGGAAACGGAUCGGCCGCCAGUAGAGCUGCUUAUAUCGCACGAGGGUUAGAGGUCUUAUACCCUAUCACUUGAGCUUGGAGGUCUUUUGGUGUCAGAGAAAGACGGGAGACCUGUU
rnacentral:lncRNA from 1 species